CCGCGAAUUUAUCAUAAUGAUAAAUUCGGACGUGUUUAAGAAUUUACUCAUAUAGUAAAUUCAAAGGUGGAGCUCAUACUGCAAUAUUAACGAUUACAAAACAUACAAACAUAUGCGGACAUUAACCGCAUUAAGACAUACAGACAUUAAAAACAACACAUACAGUAGGAAGAGACAGAGGACUACGGGCAGAGCCGCAUCUUCAGAAUCAUAAGUUGAUUUUAAAGCGCUGUGCCUCUGGUAAUAUUCCUUCAGCAAGUGUUUAUAGGAAGACAGAGACGUUGUUUUCGAUUUGAAUGCUUGAUACAUGUCUAUGUGUUUUAUAUAUCUAGUAUUUACAACAUGAGCGGCCGCGAGAGUUUGUAUAUCCGAUACAACACGGACGUGAAUGUUGUAAAUGGCCUGUGAAACGUCUUGAUGAGAACAUACGUAUUCUUCAACAAUUGUGAUAUUCGGUGAGAAAAUUCAAUAUGUCAAUCAGCAUGAUUUUGUAUGAGAAUAACAAGCUCCUUCACGGUCAUGAUUUCCUUUCUGUUUUCUCAUGAAUUAUUAAUGAGUUUCAUUUUCACAAAUAUUUUUUUUUGUGCGGGGGAGGGGGGUUGUCACCCCCUGGGAUUUCUAAUGGUCCGCCUACUGUGAAUUGUAGUCUAUCUGUGUUUCGACUGACAUUCGGCUGACAACGAGGUGAUGCUAGCAAAUGCAUACGCUGUGUAACAGGCUUAGUUUUUAGCUUUGAAGAGUUCGAAUUCUUUCAUCGCGAGAGAUUUCGUUGAAUAAAAUAAUUGCCUGGCCAAACGCUAUCAUACCGAAUUAAAUACCCGCGGAAAAGUUCUAUAUCACAAAUUGAAACAACUAACGUCACUGUCAUGUUAAGUGGUUAAUUAAAGAAUUCAUCGGCACACCACGAAACAGCCCCGUUACGCAUAUUGCGCAAUCUUACAACAGGAAUUCAGUGCCCCUGACGCAACUCUUUUAUCGUCUCAUUAGAAAAAACACUUUGACUUUACUGUUUAUUGCACUUUUGUCCCAUUGGCCUCGUUUUCAUGUUUGCCUGUUUUGGCAUGGCGGGGAACAUUAAUAAAAAGCAAAGCGUUCACUUCGAGGUUCACUUCAUGCGCCCGUGAGAGUCUGUGAUGGACUGUACCUACACACUAUCAUAUAGAAUAUAUUUUGAUAUUGAUUCUAAAAGCUAUCAAUUAUUACAAAUUAUUACAAAUUGAUACAACUUAGUACUGGUCCUAUAUCUCUUUGAUGUUGCUAUUCUCGACUUAAGUGGGCGUUAAUUAACUUGCGCAAUCUUACGCUAGCCUUUUUCACACAUUCAAAAUAGUUUGUUCAAAUUUGAAUAUUAAUAUAUUAUCUCGGGCACUCCUCUGCCAUUGGCACUGUUAAUUCAGUUGGUUGAAACCAGGCGGGAACAACACCCACAUAGGUCCUAAGGGUGCGACAUUUUUUUAUUGUCACAUUUAAAACAAUCGUCAAGGCUGUAAAGUAACUUACUUUUUUUACCAAAAAUGAUCGAAAAUGUUAGUUCAAAUGUCACGCAAACUAAAAAUAGCAAACAAAAACAAAAGAUAUUUUACACCGUCUUUAAUUAAUACCUAAACCCAGAUUUACAAACUAAAACGGAAACAAACCAUCACAACAGGAAACUACUGUCUACUGUGGAUCAAACUUGCUUGCGCUAGACUAUAGUGGUUAUAUCAUGAUUUCCAAUUCAUCGUACUUAAAUUUUGCAAUAAUUAACACAAAAAUGCCUCGAGAAUCUUUCUAAACUUGAAGCACAGAAAGCAUAUACAUCGAUAAGGAACUGCAAAACUCAAAGUUGUAAACAAUUUGAACUUCGU